AGUGUGUAUAUAAUGCAGUGUGUUUGCGUAGUGUGUUUAUAUAAUUUAUAUAAUGCACACUACACAAACACACUGCAUUAUAUACACACACACACAC